UAAAGAUUUAUUGCUUGAAGAUGGGCAUGCUUUCCAUUAGGUAGUCGGCGGGGUAACGGCCCACCGAGCCGUCGAUGGAUAGGGGCACUGAGAGGUUUGUCCCCCACACUGGUACUGAGACACGGACCAGACUCCUACGGGAGGCAGCAGUGAGGAAUAUUGGUCAAUGGGCGGGAGCCUGAACCAGCCAAGUCGCGUGAAGGACGACGGUAUUAUGUAUUGUAAACUUCUUUUAUAUAGGAAUAAAAAGAGGGAUGUAUCCCUCAUUGCAUGUACUAUAUGAAUAAGCAUCGGCUAACUCCGUGCCAGCAGCCGCGGUAAUACGGAGGAUGCGAGCGUUAUCCGGAUUUAUUGGGUUUAAAGGGUGCGUAGGCGGGAACGUAAGUCAGUGGUGAAAGUUUGCGGCUCAACCGUAAAAUUGCCAUUGAAACUGCGUUUCUUGAGAGUGGUAGAGGUAGGCGGAAUGCGCGGUGUAGCGGUGAAAUGCAUAGAUAUCGCGCAGAACCCCGAUUGCGAAGGCAGCUUACUGGAGCACAUCUGACGCUGAAGCACGAAAGCGUGGGUAUCAAACAGGAUUAGAUACCCUGGUAGUCCACGCUGUAAACGAUGAUAACUAGUUGUUUGCGAUAUACGGUAAGCGACACAGCGAAAGCGUUAAAUUAUCCACCUGGGGAGUAC
rnacentral:rRNA from 1 species